rnacentral:rRNA from 1 species
UACAUGUGGGGCAAGCGUUGUUCGGAAUUACUGGGCGUAAAGGGCUCGUAGGCGGCCAACUAAGUCAGACGUGAAAUCCCUCGGCUUAACCGGGGAACUGCAUCUGAUACUGGAUGGCUUGAGUUCGGGAGAGGGAUGCGGAAUUCCAGGUGUAGCGGUAAAAUGCGUAGAUAUCUGGAGGAACACCGGUGGCGAAGGCGGCAUCCUGGACCGGCACUGACGCUGAGGAGCGAAAGCCAGGGGAGCAAACGGG